UUCCUUCCUUCCUUCCUUCCUUCCUUCCUUCCUUCCUUCCUUCCUUCCUUUUUAUUUUCCUCUGUCCUUCUCUCUCCCCCCCUUUCCUUCCUCCUUUCCAUCUUUCCCUUCCAUCUCUUGGUACUGUGCCAGAUAUAUUUAAAUCUCUCUCUCUUGGAGUGGAGCUAAUCCAUGCAAAUGCGAGCCACUGGCUCCCAAGUGCUCGCUUCACAAAGCAAGCUGUGCUUCAGGAGGUCACUCGUUCACAGCUGCUCCUCCCAUUCUAUUUUUCCACUCACCCACCCACCCCCAGAACUCCGCUCGCUGGUAUCCACUGACUGAAAGGACUCAAUUUACUGCAACUGCUGCCUGGUUUUUCCCUACAACUUUCUUUAAAGCAGGACAUUUCUUCCAUCUCUCUUUGCAAGGAAAGAAAGGAAACAGCAAGCCUUCAAAUUUCUGCAGCAGAAGAGGAUACAGCAGAAAUUAUGACUCCCAGUUUUAUUUAUUAAGUCAAAUUUUGAACAUCAAAAACCUUCCUCAUCCAGCAUCUUCCCUAAUUUUGCUCUCUCAGAAAGCUGUUCCAUGCACCAGGCCAACUAGACAGAUUGUCCUGAAAGGAAGAGUGUUCAGAUUAGUGAUGUACUUGUAAACGUUCUGGUAG